GCGGUUAUGGUGAAAUUGGUAGACACGCCAUCUUGAGGGGGUGGUGAGGCAGCUCGUGCGAGUUCGAGUCUCGCUAACCGCACCA
rnacentral:tRNA from 1 species